rnacentral:rRNA from 2 species
GCAGUCGACGAGCUUCCGUUGAAUGACGUGCUUGCACUGAUUUUAACAAUGAAGCGAGUGGCGAACUGGUGAGUAACACGUGGGAAAUCUGCCCAGAAGCAGGGGAUAACACUUGGAAACAGGUGCUAAUACCGUAUAACAACAAAAUCCGCAUGGAUUUUGUUUGAAAGGUGGCUUCGGCUAUCACUUCUGGAUGAUCCCGCGGCGUAUUAUUUAGUUGGUGAGGUAAAGGCCCACCAAGACGAUGAUACGUAGCCGACCUGAGAGGGUAAUCGGCCACAUUGGGACUGAGACACGGCCCAAACUCCUACGGGAGGCAGCAGUAGGGAAUCUUCCACAAUGGACGAAAGUCUGAUGGAGCAAUGCCGCGUGAGUGAAGAAGGGUUUCGGCUCGUAAAACUCUGUUGUUAAAGAAGAACACCUUUGAGAGUAACUGUUCAAGGGUUGACGGUAUUUAACCAGAAAGCCACGGCUAACUACGUGCCAGCAGCCGCGGUAAUACGUAGGUGGCAAGCGUUGUCCGGAUUUAUUGGGCGUAAAGCGAGCGCAGGCGGUUUUUUAAGUCUGAUGUGAAAGCCUUCGGCUUAACCGGAGAAGUGCAUCGGAAACUGGGAGACUUGAGUGCAGAAGAGGACAGUGGAACUCCAUGUGUAGCGGUGGAAUGCGUAGAUAUAUGGAAGAACACCAGUGGCGAAUGCGGCUGUCUAGUCUGUAACUGACGCUGAAGCUCGAAAGCAUGGGUAGCGAACAGGAUUACAUACCCUGGUAGUCCAUGCCGUAACGAUGAGUG